AGUGAACGCUGGCGGUAGGCCUAACACAUGCAAGUCGAACGGCAGCACAGUAAGAGCUUGCUCUUACGGGUGGCGAGUGGCGGACGGGUGAGGAAUACAUCGGAAUCUACUUUUUCGUGGGGGAUAACGUAGGGAAACUUACGCUAAUACCGCAUACGACCUACGGGUGAAAGCAGGGGAUCUUCGGACCUUGCGCGAUUGAAUGAGCCGAUGUCGGAUUAGCUAGUUGGCGGGGUAAAGGCCCACCAAGGCGACGAUCCGUAGCUGGUCUGAGAGGAUGAUCGCCCCACGGGGAACUGAGACACGGCCCCGCCCCCCACGGGGGGCAGCAGGGGGGAAUUUGGGAAAAGGGGCGCAAGCCUGACCCAGCCAUCCCGCGGGGGUGAAGAAGGCCUUCGGGUUGUAAAGCCCUUUUGUGGGGAAAAAAAAGCAGCAGGUUAAUCCCCCGCUGUUCUGCCGGUACCCAAAGAAAAAGCCCCGGCUAACUUCGU
rnacentral:rRNA from 1 species